rnacentral:rRNA from 1 species
UGUAAGCGUAUACCAAAGUUGUUGCAGUUAAAACGCUCGUAGUCGGAAUUUGGCAGUUCCGGAUGUGUGCACGUCGUGUGCGCACUUCGCGGGGAUUGCUUUUGUGGUCUUGCGUAGGAUGAGGCACUUUUAUUAGUGAACGUCCUCACGCAACCACUUUUUACUGUGAGAAAAUCAGAGUGCUCAAAGCAGGCAUUUGCCGUGAAUGUAUUAGCAUGGAAUAAUAGAAUAGGACUUGGUUCUAUUUUGUUGGUUUGUUGGGACUGAGUAAUGAUUAAGAGGGACAGUUGGGGGCAUUUGUAUUUCGGUGCUAGAGGUGAAAUUCUUAGAUCACCGAAAGACAAACUGCUGCGAAAGCGUCUGCCAAGGAUGUUUUCAUUGA